GCAUGCUUCGUGUUUCUUACAAACGCUGGGUUUGUGGCGACCUUGUGCCGAGCAGGCCCGUCGGCGUCCUUGUUUCCAUAGCGUCUGUUCGCUCGGUGUCUCUGCGUCCCGUUUUGGUGAUUCUCGAACGGGUUCAGACCUUGCCGUUAUUCUGAUUGUCACGGUGACCUGUGGAUCAGUGGCUAUGACUCGCCGAGGCUCAGGUGAUGGUUAGCGUUCUUUAGCAAUAGAGUAUUUUAAAACGAAUGCACGCACGUUGACUUUUCGGACACGAUGCCGUUGCACACGUAGAAGCCGGCGUAGCGUGCGUAUAAAUGGUUCAGGCACUGGGAAACCAGAAAAAUCUGUCCGGCUCGCUUUAUGGAGAUACUUGAUUUAUCCUGGGAGUCUGGAGCCAAACUCGGAAUAUCGUUGAGUCUAUGCAGUAGGUCUACGCAAUAGCGAUACCUUUCGGUUUUGGCGCUUGUGGCUGAGGAUGUUUGGCGGACAUUCAAGUUUUAGCUUCAUCGUGUGCCCCCCACACCCUCCAGUUCUUCCGUCCGCCGUCUUAGUUCUUGUGAAACUAUCUGCUUGCACGUGGGGGACACUCACCUGGCGAAACCUCCAGAGCGUUAACUCUUUUCCUGAGUGAGAUGACCACUGUCGGGGAGGAAGAGUUUUCCUCUGCCCUUCUACGUUCCUUGGCUGGGCUGCGGAUCAGAUUGGCAUGAGACGGGUUAAGGGGAGAAG